rnacentral:lncRNA from 1 species
GUAGCGAAAUUCCCUUUCAGUAAUGUUGGGCGUCAGAGAAAGCGCCACGAACUUGUCCUAGUAAGAUGCAGUACACGCGAAACUAACUGCGGCAAACAGACGAACU